UACGAAGGGUGCAAACGUUGCUCGGAAUUAUUGGGCGUAAAGCGCACGUAGGCGGCUUAGCAAGUCGGAAGUGAAAGCCCUCGGCUCAACCAAGGAAGUGCUUUCGAAACUGCUGAGCUUGAGUAGUUAAGAGGAUCGCGGAAUUCCCGGUGUAGAGGUGAAAUUCGUAGAUAUCGGGAGGAACACCAGUGGCGAAGGCGGCGAUCUGGAACAUACGUGACGCUGAGUGCGAAGCGAUGGGAGCAAA
rnacentral:rRNA from 1 species